GUAGUAGUCGCACAGUCCGGCUAAGCAUUUCGCCCUCUCAAGGCGACGAUCCCGGGUUCAAAUCCCGGCCGGAGCA
rnacentral:tRNA from 1 species